ACACGUAGGGGCCUGACGUUGUUCGGAAUCAUUGGGCGUAAAGGGCGCGCAGGCGGCCGUCCAAGUCCGGUGUUAAAUGGUCGGGCUCAACCCGAUCAUGCGCUGGAAACUGGGCGGCUUGAGUCCCGUAGGGGAUGCCGGAAUUCCAGGUGUAGGGGUGAAAUCUGUAGAUAUCUGGAAGAACACCGAUGGCGAAGGCAGGCAUCUGGCCGGAGACUGACGCUGAGGCGCGAAGGCGCGGGGAGCGAACAGGUUUAGAUACCCUGGUAGUCCGCGCAGUAAACGAUGCGCACCAGGUGUCGGGCGGCAGCGCCCGGUACCGGAGCUAACGCGAUGAGUGCGCCGCCUGGGGAGUAUGCCCGCAAGGGUGAAACUCAAAUGAAUUGGCGGGG
rnacentral:rRNA from 1 species